CAUGCUAGUUGUACGAGUUCAGACUCGUAGCAGAUAGCUCAGUAACACGUGGCCAAACUACCCUAUGGAUCCGGACAACCUCGGGAAACUGAGGCUAAUCCGGAAUACGACUCUCAGCCUGGAAGUGGCGAGAGUCAGAAACGCCCCGGCGCCAUAGGAUGUGGCUGCGGCCGAUUAGGUAGACGGUGGGGUAACGGCCCACCGUGCCCAUAAUCGGUACGGGUUGUGAGAGCAAGAGCCCGGAGACGGUAUCUGAGACAAGAUACCGGGCCCUACGGGGCGCAGCAGGCGCGAAACCUUUACACUGCACGAAAGUGCGAUAAGGGGACUCCAAGUGCGAGGGCAUAUAGUCCUCGCUUUUCACUACCGUAAGGAGGUAGUAGAAUAAGUGCUGGGCAAGACCGGUGCCAGCCGCCGCGGUAAUACCGGCAGCACGAGUGAUGACCGCUCUUAUUGGGCCUAAAGCGUCCGUAGCUGGCCACGCAAGUCUAUCGGGAAAUCCGCGCGCUCAACGCGCGGGCGUCCGGUGGAAACUGUGUGGCUUGNGACCGGAAGAUCCAGAGGGUACGUCUGGGGUAGGAGUGAAAUCCCGUAAUCCUGGACGGACCACCGGUGGCGAAAGCGCUCUGGAAAGACGGAUCCGACGGUGAGGGACGAAAGCUCGGGUCACGAACCGGAUUAGAUACCCGGGUAGUCCGAGCUGUAAACGAUGUCUGCUAGGUGUGCCACAGGCUACGAGCCUGUGGUGUGCCGUAGGGAAGCCGUGAAGCAGACCGCCUGGGAGUACGUCCGCAGAUGAAACUUAA
rnacentral:rRNA from 1 species